rnacentral:lncRNA from 1 species
CGGGGAAAAAAGGAGGAACCGGGAUAGAAAAACAAUUGACCUGCCCCAAAUUACUUAUAACGUUAGACACCUUUUCUGAAAUUCUCCAGUCAUUAAAUCUUUUACAAAAAAAUCAUUGAUUAUAAAAUAAGAAGAUGUGGUAUGAUUGCCAAUGAGACAACUCUCAAAAAGAGACCAAUAUGACACAGAAAUUAAAACAACUAUAGGUAACUGUACGGUCGUCAACAAUGAGCAAAGCCCAUACCGCAUAGUCAGCUGUAAAGGGCCCGAUAUGUCAAUGUAAAACAAUUCAAACAAGAAAACUUAUAACGGCCUUAUUUAUGUGCAAA